GCAGUAGUAAUAGUCAUGUGGGUUUGCCAAAGGGGCGCUUACCGAGAGCUCUUUGGCAUUCUGUCCACCUCCUUGCGAGUCUCGCGGGAGAUCUCAUGAUCUGUUGUUGAGCUUGCAGAUAGCUUGGAGGUGGGCAUACUGCCAAUGGAGCUGUGUAGGCUUCCCUUUGUAAAACCCAUAUGGCGAAGAUCAAACCAGCU